UAUAGGAAGUGGCAUAAAUAAAUGAAAACAGUGACAGCUAAGGGACUACUGAGAUGAAUGCAUUGGCACGCUUGGGACUACGGGUUGGGUCGCUUUCAUUCGAGUUCUGACAGCUCAGCGGCCUCAGGAGUUUGUGCCCCUUCUCCCUCUCCCCCUUUCGCGGCCUCCGCACUCCCACGAUCUCCGUACAAAUACGCAAUGGGUUGCAUAGGUCGGCGUGGGCAUAAUUACCAGCUUGUCCAUGUGCAAUUUAAGUCAAUUAAACGGCAGGAAAGUAAUUAAGCAUCUAGGGCAGCAUUCCUUAGUUUCGUCAUAUGGUAUGCACAAGAGCCUGCAAGUUAUUAAUUGGUUUCAGUUAGCGUCCCCUGCGGUCAACCUAGAUAGACGUGCACAGAGC
rnacentral:lncRNA from 1 species